UGGGGAAUAUUGGACAAUGGGCGAAAGCCUGAUCCAGCCAUGCCGCGUGUGUGAAGAAGGUCUUCGGAUUGUAAAGCACUUUAAGUUGGGAGGAAGGGCAUUAACCUAAUACGUUAGUGUUUUGACGUUACCGACAGAAUAAGCACCGGCUAACUCUGUGCCAGCAGCCGCGGUAAUACAGAGGGUGCAAGCGUUAAUCGGAAUUACUGGGCGUAAAGCGCGCGGAGGUGGUUUGUUAAGUUGGAUGUUAAAUCCCCGGGCUCAACCUGGGAACUGCAUUCAAAACUGACUGACUAGAGUAUGGUAGAGGGUGGUGGAAUUUCCUGUGUAGCGGUGAAAUGCGUAGAUAUAGGAAGGAACACCAGUGGCGAAGGCGACCACCUGGACUAAUACUGACACUGAGGUGCGAAAGCGUGGGGAGCAAACA
rnacentral:rRNA from 1 species